rnacentral:rRNA from 1 species
UGAGUAUGUGGUUUAAUUCGAUGCAACACGAAAAACCUUUGCAAUCCCUGACAUCCUAGUAGUAGGAACCCGAAACGGCAACGGCCGGCGUUCGCGGUGGAGCUAGCACAGGUGUCACAUGGCUGUCGUCAGCUCUUGCCGUGAGGUGUUGGGUUAAGCCCCAUAACGAGCGCAACCCCUGCUUUGAGUUGGUUUCUCACAGGAGACUGCCCAGGAAUUCUGGGAGGAAGGUGGGGAUGACGUCAAGUCAGCAUGGCCUUUAUAUCUUGGGCA